UACGAAGGGGGCUAGCGUUGCUCGGAAUCACUGGGCGUAAAGGGCGCGUAGGCGGCGUUUUAAGUCGGGGGUGAAAGCCUGUGGCUCAACCACAGAAUGGCCUCGAUACUGGGACGCUUGAGUAUGGUAGAGGUUGGUGGAACUGCGAGUGUAGAGGUGAAAUUCGUAGAUAUUCGCAAGAACACCGGUGGCGAAGGCGGC
rnacentral:rRNA from 1 species